AGGUAUCUCAUUGGACCUUUUGAGUGACCAUCUUUUUAGCACUCUUAUUGGAUGACUCGGAUCAACAAUCUGGUGUACAUAAGGAUUUUGGAAAGCAGACACUUAUGAUCAUGAAGCUUCUCCAUUUGGUCUUACUUCUUAAAAUUCAUCAUGAAAUCUCCAAUGAAUAAGAAUAAAGAAUGAAAUGUACAUAAAUAUACACAAAACAAUAAUUGUCCAAAAAUUUUAUUGCUGAAAAAGUUUGAAACAAAAUUUCUCAUUCAAUUAUGGUACAAAUGAGAAGAGAGACUUGUAAAGAGCUCCACAUAUACACUUUUUGUCUCUUUUCUCUUGGGAACAAAAUGUAUUAACAAAUCAAAUAUACAAAAUUUUCCUUUGGAAAACAAUUACAACAUCUCUCAGAGGCUUUAGCGUAGAGCUUCCAGAUAAAUCAUUUAUGUUUUCGUUGUAGGAUCUGCCCAAGAAUCAAAUAACACUUGCAGUUUUGACACUUUAUUAGAUCAAAAUUAUUAUCAGGUAUGGAAGAAAUAUUUCCACCUUAUUGAAAUAUUUUUAUGAAUGCAGGGGAGGGGGAAAACAAAACAAAAAAAAAAUAUCCAGAGUUAGUAAUCAAGACUAUAAAAUUGGUAUGCAUGCCCUAUGGGGGAACCCUUUUAUGCCAAGGGUAGGCUUAGAAUGAAAAUGCAAUCCUCCAGAGCAGGCACUAUACAAUACCUGAUGGAUCCAAUCAGCUUAUGGAGUGAAAAAUAAUUUGAAAAAUUUGGCCCAUUGGAAUGAAAAGAGACAUUUGUCCUAAAAUGAGGGAAAAGUCCGAAUGGAUUGCUACUUUGAUCGGUGCAUGAAAUAAUGUGUAAAAGAGAUUGCAAUGUCUCAAUUAAUUUAUUCGGUGACCCUUAGACUUAAACCCUAAAAAGGGAAAAAACGGGUCAAAUGGAUUGGAUAAAAUUGAUGAUUUAUUUAAAAAUGACCAAAUUGCCCUAAAAAUAGGUAAACUGGUCAAAUGAAUUAAAUGAAAUUUGAUUUAUUCAAAAAUUGAUCGAAUCACCCUAAAAAGGGUAGAUUGGUCAAAUGAAUGAAACUUGAUUUAUUCAAAAUCGAUUCGAUUGCCCUAAAAAUGGGUGAAUUGGCUAGAUGAAUGAAAAAGAGAUUGAUGAUUUAUGCAAAAAUCGACCGAAUGACCCUAAAAAGGGUAAAUUGACCAGGUGACCCUAAAAAGGGUAAAUUGGUCAAAUGAAUUGACUAUUUAUUGAGUGAAUUGGCAAAAUGAAUUGGUUGAAUUGUCCGGCCAUUGGUUACUUCAAAAUUAUUGAGGUGCAUUAGUCUAUGACCUUCUAGAAAUCAAAUUUUGGCCUCAAUUUAUUUAUCGUCCCAAUAGGAGGAAUCACUUGUGAAUUUCUUCAAAUUAAUGUCCUUCACGCAAAGGAUUUUUACCAAUUUUUAAAAAAAAUGGCCAAAAAGUGAUUAUUAGAUGCUCAUAUUCCAAAGAUCACUCCAUGAAAAUGAUCGGAUCCUACCUUACCUUGUGCACUACCCCUUCGGAUGGUACGAGAAAGGUAAACGUGCAAGUCUCAUUUGGAUUAUAUAUCCGAGACAUGGGGUGGUUUAUUCCUAACACGGGAUCCCCUAAAUGGCAUUCCCUUUCUAGGGUUUAUGCAUGAUGCCAUUUAUUAAAGCGAUGUAAAUAUGUGACAAAUAUGGUGUAAAGGACAUAAAUAAUGCAUCGGGGGAAAAAGGUCUAAAAUGAAAUGUACUUAUUGAAAAUUAAGCAUAAUGACUGGAAUUUAAACAUGUAAGUUAUCUAGUAGGUAAGUCACUAAAAGAGUGCCAAAGAGACCUCUUAUUGGUAAGGCAUAUGAAUGCAAGCCAGGAAAAUAAAAGAAUGGUUAGUGCAAUUGAUAGUACACAUAACACAUUGGGAGCAAUUAAGAAAAGAAAAUACAAUAAAGCAAGUAAAAGGGGUGGAACCCCUUCCCUCGUGCCUAAUGUGCUUAAAAUAGGGUGAGGCCGACUCUACCUUAGGUCAUUCUAAUAUGGAUGCAUGAGGCUGGGGUUCACUAAUGCCUAGACUCGAUAAAGUUUCGGCUCCCAAGCCUUCAGACCUAAAGGCGAAGGGUCAUCACUCCCAGGGCCUUCGAUCGGUGGCUCGAGUGAUCCCUUAGGUAGCGCUAUGGGCGCAGAGCACACCAGCCGCCUAUCCAAGGCAAUCGAUCCUAAUCCUACAAGGCGGUGUGGGAAACGCCCACGAAAAAACAAAUAAAAUGGGAUAAAGCAAAUAAAUAUGCACGUAUGAAGUGUUCCCCUAAUUUGAGGGAAGGGGUUGAGAACCACGCGAGGCUCUAAAGGUGACACACCCCCUCCCAAAUGCAAUGCAAGCGCGAGAUAAACAAAUAAACAACAUCCAAUCAACCAAUCACACGUACGUGAGUGAGGGAAAUGUUUGAUACGCGCGCGAUGCGAAAAAGUCCUAAAACAAAAAAUGCAACCCUAAUAUCCAAAUGCAAUGCAUAAAAAGGGUAGAAAAAGGAAACGAAUGGCUAAGUCAAAUGCUCGGACCCACUUAGGAAGUCCCCAGUGGAGUCGCCAACUGUCGCGCCCCACUUUUCGAUUGAGUAAUGUAAAUGUGAAUGUGUGUGGUGUGUGGUGUGCAAUGUGUGAACGUGUGUAAAAUGAAAAGUAAAAGGCCAUGGGACUUCGAAUGCGACGAUUUGGCCAAGUGAAGUUCAAAAGGGUUUUUUGUAUCAAAAAUGGAGUCGCCACUUGGUAUAGAGUUAGGGUGUACCAAGUCACCCAAAAAGUGUUUUUUAAAGACAAAGUAGUAAAACCCUUUUUAAAACGACUCCUAGUCCACGUAAGCCAAAGAAAAAGGUUCGGGGGUCACGUUUGACAAAGGGGAAGGCAAGGAUAGAAUCCAAGGCACCCCUUUGACCUACCCAAGGCUAGUUGCGUGACUUAAACCAAUUUUCCCUAGUUUUCUACCCAAUAUAUGUUCGUACGUUGGAUAUGACUAUAUGAAUGCAAAACGGAAAGAAAAAUGCAAUCCUAAAUUCUACGAUGUCUCUCAUGAGGCUCUUGGUCCCAAACCACAUGAAUUGUGGCGGCCAACAAAAGAAAACCCCAUAGAGGUCGAUUAAUGCAAAUGAGACUCAAAUGUGCAAGUGUGGAAGUGUAUGAAAGAAAUUAAAAAUCCAAGUGUUUGUGUGCAAGUGUAUGAAAAGGUGCACGUGUGCAAUUGUAUGAAAAUUCCAAGUGUUUGUGUGCAAGUGUAUGAAAUAUAGUGAUAAGUGCAUAUUAAAUGCAAUUUUGUGAAGUAGAAAUCAAAAUGAACAAUAAGGAAAGGAAAAUGUGAAUUGAAAAGAAUGAGUGAGUGAUAAAUGAGAAUGAAUGAACCUAAGGGAAUGCAUCAGGUCGGGUAUGAGAAUGACUCCUAACUUGUCGACUUCGAUUUUCCCUUUGAUUAGAAGGCAAAACUAGCGUGCUAAGGCUAUCGAGUAGCCACACUCGCUCGUUUCCCUUAUCAGAAGGGGACUCUCAUGCAAAUGUACACUAUACCUAGUAUGGGAUGCAAGACCUAAAGUGAGGGGAAAGGGGAAUCGAGGAGCACGCCAGAUGAUAAAACUAAGAAAAAAUGCAUGAUAUGUAGUGAACAGGCAAAUAAUGCAUUAAUGAAAAAUAAAGGAAAAAUCCUAUUGGGUCUAGCGUUGGACUAGCCCUUUCUAUGAAUUCCUAAUGAAAUAAUGAGCCACAACUAGCGUUGGACUAGUGUGGUGACGUACAUUCAUUCCAUUCCAUUCAUUCAUGGCUAUGAAAGCAAGUAGACAUGCCAAAACACUCGUAAACACGUAACACGUAACACUUAGCAUGCUCGACUAGAUGCAAGAGCCUAAUAAAGCAAUUAAACAUGUAGCAAUAAAAACAAGCAACCAAGGGGAAGGGGAAAUGGACCAGAUGCUCUCCGAGCCCUAUCUAUUACAAGCCAAGAGGUGUACACAUACCCCAUAAAAGCAUAAAGGGGAAGGGGAAAUGGACCAGAUGCUCUUCGAGCCCUAUCUAUUACAAGCCAAGAGGUGUACACAUACCCCAUAAAACUUAAAUAAAAGUAAAAGCAAGUAAAUGCAUGCAAGGAGGUAAGGAAAGCGGAGUAGACAUGCGUAUUCACGUAACACGUAGGAGCACGUAGAAUCAAAUGAAGUGCAAAUAAAAGGGUAGAGUGUACCUUCCUUGAAAUUGGGCCCCAAUGAAGUGAACUUACUAAUUUACCCUCCAAAAUAAUAAAAAGGUCAAGGCACCAAUUUAUUUGGCAAAUAAUCACAAAGGAUAAAAAUAAGCAUGAAUUGAAUCAAUUGAAUCAUGUCAAAACCCACAUUUAAGAAGUCAAAAGAAGAAGGGACUUAAUUGCAAAAACGAACAAAGUUUUGGGGUCAAAAUUAAAGAAAAAUAAAGUUCAGGGACUUAAUUACAAUUAAUUUAAGGACCGAAUUGAAAGAAGUUGAGAAUGUCCAGGGCCACAAUACAUCUAAGGAGAAAUUCAGGGGCUGAUUUGCAAAUUUGCUUUCUGGUUUCUUAGUGGAUCAAGCCACUGGGCUAUUGCCUUUAUUUGUUUGGGCCAAAGUUUCCCAGCCCAAUGGAAAUUCAAAGCAAGAAGGGAAUGGACCAUUUUAUUUGUUCGUUUGGGCCAACCCUUCCUAGCCCAACCAAAAAACCCAAGCAAAAACAGAUGGGCUAGCUUAACUAUUUUG
rnacentral:lncRNA from 1 species